AUCAAUGGAUCAGCAACAAAUCUUCCAGACAGUAGUGGACGUUCUUUUGUAACAUCUUUCUCUGGUCAGUCUGGUGCAGCCUCUCCUGUUUUCCAUCAUGCUAGCAAUAUUCAGGGUUUGUAUAAUAUUCAUGGUAGCUUUAAUGUUCCCAACAUACCUGGUACACUCGCAUCAAGAAACUCAAUAUUAAGUAAUGUUCCAACUGUUGGGGUUCAACAACCUACUGAGAGCUUUUCUGGUGGAAGAUUUGCAUCAAAUAAUCUUUAUGUUUCUCUUUCUCAGUUAUCUCAUGGCAGCUCCCACGGACAUUCAGGAGUAACAAAUAGGGGAGGUAUUAGUGUUGUAGGAAACCCUGGAUUUAAUAGUAACACAAAUGGA